AGCCGCUGAUGACUUCUACAAAAACACUUUUCUGACAUCUCUUAUGAGCGCUGCUUUACAGCAGCUGAUUAUAAAUUGUAGUCUGAGGCUC